rnacentral:rRNA from 1 species
GACGAACGCUGGCGGCGUGCUUAACACAUGCAAGUCGAACGGAAAGGCCCUGCUUUUGUGGGGUGCUCGAGUGGCGAACGGGUGAGUAACACGUGAGUAACCUGCCCUUGACUUUGGGAUAACUUCAGGAAACUGGGGCUAAUACCGGAUAGGAGCUCCUGCUGCAUGGUGGGGGUUGGAAAGUUUCGGCGGUUGGGGAUGGACUCGCGGCUUAUCAGCUUGUUGGUGGGGUAGUGGCUUACCAAGGCUUUGACGGGUAGCCGGCCUGGGAGGGUGACCGGCACCAUUGGGCUUGGGAUCCGGCCCGACCCCGUAGGGGAGGAAGAGGGGGGGAAUAUUGCCCAAGGGGCGGAAGCCGGAUGCAGCAACGCGGGUUGCGGGAGGACGGCCUUCGGGUUGUAACCCGCUUUCGCUUGGGACGAAGGGUGAGGGAGGUAAUGGGUAAAGAAGCACCGGCUAACUACGUG